rnacentral:rRNA from 1 species
UGUGGUUUAUUCGAAGCACGCGAAGAACCUUACCAGGUCUUGACAUCCUCUGACAACCCUAGAGAUAGGGCUUUCCCCUUCGGGGGACAGAGUGACAGGGGGUGCAUGGUUGUCGUCAGCUCGUGUCGUGAGAUGUUGGGUUAAGUCCCGCAACGAGCGCAACCCUUGAUCUUAGUUGCCAGCAUUCAGUUGGGCACUCUAAGGUGACUGCCGGUGACAAACCGGAGGAAGGUGGGGAUGACGUCAAAUCAUCAUGCCCCUUAUGACCUGGGCUACACACGUGCUACAAUGGAUGGUACAAAGGGCUGCAAACCUGCGAAGGUAAGCGAAUCCCAUAAAGCCAUUCUCAGUUCGGAUUGCAGGCUGCAACUCGCCUGCAUGAAGCCGGAAUCGCUAGUAAUCGCGGAUCAGCAUGCCGCGGUGAAUACGUUCCCGGGCCUUGUACACACCGCCCGUCACACCACGAGAGUUUGUAACACCCGAAGUCGGUGAGGUAACCUUCAUGGAGCCAGCCGCCUAAGGUGGGACAGAUGAUUGGGGUGAAGUCGUAACAAGGUAGCCGUAUCGGAGGUGCGGUGAU